UACGAAGGGGGCGAGCGUUGUUCGGAAUUACUGGGCGUAAAGGGCGCGUAGGCGGCCGAUCAAGUUAGAUGUGAAAGUCCUGGGCUUAACCUGGGGACUGCAUUUUUGAUACUGAUUGGCUUGAAUUCGGGAGAGGAUAGCGGAAUUCCCCAGUGUAGAGGUGAAAUUCGUAGAUAUUGGGAAGAACACCGGUGGCGAAGGCGGCUCGCUGGGGCAGUUGCUGACACUGAGGCGCGACAGCGUGGGGAGCAAACAGG
rnacentral:rRNA from 1 species